GGCAAUGGCACCCCACUCCAGUACUCUUGCCUGGAAAAUCCCAUGGAUGGAGGAGCCCCGUGGUUGCCGCCUAUGGGGUCGCAUAGAGUGAGACACGCCUGAAGCGACUUGGCAGCUGCAGCAACAGCUUGACUGCAGGCGCUGUUCUGGUCCGGGGGAUACAGCAGUGAACAAAAUAGGCAAAGAAGCUUGUCUCAUGGGAGAUGUGGGCAAUAAGCAAUGCAGGCUUGUGGUCCCUUCCGACCCUGUGGAUGCAGAAGGAAGAGGCAAACUCCUUUCUGUAUAUGUGGCUGUCUAGAGUUGUCAUAAUGAUGUGGUGAAGCAAGUUUAAGCUGCGUGUUUGGCUGAGAAGGGAUACUUUUUUCUCAUCAUUAAUCACAAAUUAAAGCCAUUAAAAAGAUAAAGUACCCCUCAAUUUCGAUUUUGCUCUGGAGGGCCAGCACUUGUGUUCUUUCUGCAAAUCAUCUGUCGAUACAAUGGGACUGUGAGGUUGGCUGCUGCCAACACAUCCAUCUGCCAACCAUGGCCAUCUGCAGAGGAGAUGCAAAGCCUCAAUGCCUGGAAAUGAAUUUAUUAUUUGUUGGCAUUUCAAGGACAAACAUCUCUUUGGCCACAGCUACUGAAACUUGAAUCCAAAAAUGGGAGGAAAAUCUAGGCUCAGCUUCCUCCCAGAUUCAGCUUGGUGAAGAGACCACUAAGUUGAAAUACAGUAUAGAUGUUAACUUGUGGAUUCAGCAGAGAUGACUGGACAAUAUCCAAUCUCAGAAAGGCUGAGAGGCUGACCGUGGGAAUCACUCUGCUCCUGUCUACCUUU